UACAGAGGGGGCAAGCGUUGUUCGGAAUUACUGGGCGUAAAGGGCGCGUAGGCGGCCGCCUAAGUCAGACGUGAAAUCCCUCGGCUCAACCGGGGAACUGCGUCUGAUACUGGGUGGCUUGAAUCCGGGAGAGGGAUGCAGAAUUCCAGGUGUAGCGGUGAAAUGCGUAGAUAUCUGGAGGAAUACCGGUGGCGAAGGCGGCAUCCUGGACCGACAUUGACGCUGAGGAGCGAAAGCCAGGGGAGCAAACGGG
rnacentral:rRNA from 1 species